GAUGAACGCUGGCGGCGUGCUUAACACAUGCAAGUCGAACGGAAAAGCCCAGCUUGCUUGGUGUGUUAGUGUCGCACGGGUGAGUGACACACGAGCAACCUGCCCCUUACACUGGGAUAUGCCCUGAGGAAGCCGGCGCUUACUCCAGAUGUCCCCUCCCCGCGCGUUGUGGGGGUGGGAAGAUUUUGCGGUUGGGGAUGGGCUCGCGGCCUAUCAGCUUGUUGGUGAGGUAAUGGCUCACCAAGGCGUCGACGGGUAGCCGGCCUGAGAGGGUGACCGGCCACACUGGGACUGAGAUACGGCCCAGACUCCUACGGGAGGCAGCAGUGGGGAAUAUUGCACAAUGGGCGGAAGCCUGAUGCAGCAACGCCGCGUGAGGGAUGACGGCCUUCGGGUUGUAAACCGCUUUCGGCAGGGAAGAAGCGAAAGUGACGGUACCGGCUGAAAAAGCACCGGCUAACUACGUG
rnacentral:rRNA from 1 species